UUGAUUGUCACUCAGGAAUUUGAGGCGUUGACCAACAAUGCUGGAAGAAGAUUCUGGAAGGGAAUGGGGGAGCUUACAUUCAAAGAAUUGAUGAUGCUGAUCUUAUAUCCCCCAAUAUUCUCACCCAGAAAAUUCUGGUACUACUCACCUCAGGGGAACCCAAAGUUUGUUACUUUCAAUGAUGAAUUGAUGGAGUACUCCGCCAUGUAGAUAUUCAGGACCUCUUUUGCUUUUACGAACAGUUUUUGUAGGUAUACAGGUGCCCAACUCCAAUAUAAACCAUUCCAUGGGCCUGAGCGAGCUGAUACAUUCGUGCCACGUUUGAGGAG